UAUGUAGAAUGUAGCUGUUGAGAAUAGUGAGUCUGGGGAAGCUAGAAAUCUCAGCCCCAACAUUUACAAUCUUUGUAAACACGGCAAACUAAACUGUAAUUUUCAGCUUGUCAUACAGGAAAUGGAGACAAAAAUACUUGUCCUUCUGGGUUAAUAUAAGGAGUAAAAGAAGAAAUCUAUCAAAAGUAUUUUGAGAGCCUUCCUGUGCAUAGUAAAGAGCCAACAUAUAUCUGAUCAAGAAGCCUGGAUUACUAUCAAAUCCAAGAACUUUCAUUCUUGAUGGAAUUUUAAGGAAUUUCACCUGCAGAAAUAAAAGCAUAAGGGUAGUGUUUAUUGGAACCUUGCAAAGGAAGAAAAUGGAAAUUAAGCUGGGAAAUGUAUCAACAAGGAAGCGAACUGUAGCCUGGGUGGAAAUUCACCUGUUAGAUUCAUAUUCUGUGUGGCAUGAAAUUACCAUCCCAGACACACUUGAGGAAACAGGAGAGAUGGAAUAUGGAAAGCAUAUUGGCACUACUGUGGAGAAGAACAUGGUUAGCAUAUAAAUUAUUCAUUUUGCCUCUUAACUGCAUAAUGAAUUUUAAGUGGUGGGUCUUCCUCUCCUGAGGGUCAGGGUGCUUCCUUAGCGAUCACAGAGGAUUUAGCCACACAGCCUUGGGUGGCUGUCAUGGAAGGUAGUUAAAAGCUGCCUGCUGGGACCUGCUAGUGAAGUCAUGACAACGUGCUGAAUUAUGACAGGCAUUCGAUUAUCUUUCUACUAGCUUCAUCAUGAUCCUCUUUGAUGACUGCAGAACAGUCCUUACAGUAUCUGAGCUAAUUCUUUAUGCUGUCAUUUCCACAAGUAAUUAUUACACACAUGAUAGGAGCCAUACACUAUUCUGAAUACCUGAAUGGUGAAUCAAAUACUAUUUCAAAUCUAUCUUCUUAGCAUGUUUAUAUUCUAAUGAGGUU